GUAUUGGUGGUUCAGUGGUAGAAUUCUCGCCUGCCAUGCAGGAGACCCGGGUCUGAUUCCCGACCAAUGCA
rfam:Danio rerio chromosome 4, GRCz11 reference primary assembly.